CCUGGAGCGGAUCUGAGUUACCAUGGAAACGGGGAAACGUCAAGCAGCAAGACUCCGUCUCGCUGUUGUUUUCACUGAUUUUAGAUUCACCAAACAUCUGUCUGAUUACUGGCAAUUUGCAGUAAAGACAGUGGACAAGUGAAGAGAGUGGAGGGGACGGCAUCAGAAAGGACCUUGAGCUACGACUGUCUUGGAUCACCCAAACCACAACUACACUAUGUGUCCAAGCACUGAACAAGGCUUUUCUCCUUAAAUAUUAAAUGUAUUUAAUUUAAGGCAGGGUUUAUUUUUCCUGCAUAGUGAAUUACUAGGUGGCUGCCUCUGUCAAAUCUGAUGCUGUCUCCAGCUAUUAACAAAACUCAGGCAGGCAGUCACAUGCUCCGAUACCCCUUUUCCACCAACACGGUUCUGUUGCAGGCUCCCGGCCCGUGUCCAUUCUCAAACUGUUCCACGCACCUCCACUGCACAAAAGGCAGUUCCAGGUCAGAAAUAUCGGUACCCUCCCUCUUCGACAUCCUUCGCCAGUCAUCACAUUCACAACCACCACAGUCAACGCAAGUCAAGGUCCCUGGUCCACAGCAUCAACCAUCUUUGUAGGAAGAUGAAUACUGCAUUUUUUGAUUUAUCUUUAAAAUGUACAGUUUUCUUAUGAAGUGCAAUCCCUCUCUAGACAGACUGAGGUCUAUUGGUCUUACAAAAUACUGUCAGACACUGCAUAUGAUGUUCUCAAAAUAAAAUAAAAAAAUAAUUAAAAUAUUUAAGAAUU